AGUUUGAUCCUGGCUCAGAACGAACGCUGGCGGCGUGCCUAACACAUGCAAGUCGAACGUGAUUAGAGAGCUUGCUCUCUAUGAAAGUGGCGCACGGGUAAGUAACGCGUAGAUAAUCUGCCUGGUGAUCUGGGAUAACACCUCGAAAGGGGUGCUAAUACCUGAUAAGCCCACGGUGUCCUUGGACGCUGCGGGAAAAGGGGGGGACCUUCGGGCCUUCCGUCACCAGAUGAGUCUGCGUACCAUUAGCUAGUUGGUAGGGUAAAGGCCUACCAAGGCGACGAUGGUUAGCUGGUCUGAGAGGAUGAUCAGCCACACUGGAACUGAGACACGGUCCAGACUCCUACGGGAGGCAGCAGUGGGGAAUUUUGCGCAAUGGGGGAAACCCUGACGCAGCAACGCCGCGUGAGUGAUGAAGGCUCUUGGGUCGUAAAGCUCUGACAGAGGGAAAGAAGUGUAUUGUGGCUAAUAUCCACGAUACUUGACGGUACCCUCAAAGGAAGCACCGGCUAACUCCGUGCCAGCAGCCGCGGUAAUACGGGGGGUGCAAGCGUUGUUCGGAUUUAUUGGGCGUAGAGGGUGCGUAGGCGGCGCGGUAAGUCGGGUGUGAAAUCUCGGAGCUUAACUCCGAAACUGCA
rnacentral:rRNA from 1 species